rnacentral:snoRNA from 1 species
UUUUCUGAUGAUUUUCUUAAAUCUAAUAACUUUCGUUCUACCGAAUUACAUCAAACGAUGUUGAGGAGACUUAUUUUUCUGAUA